GCUCCGCCUCCCGCUGUGCGCAGGCGCGGGGCCCUCAAACCCUGGCUGGGAUUGCGGAGCUUCCCGGCUACUCGGCCGGAAACUCGGCCCUGCGCCUGGACCGGAGCGGCCCGAGCGGGAACGGACGCGGCCCGGUCCGCGCGGAAUGUUGAAGAAUGUUUGUUCCAAGAUCUUUGAAAAUCAAGAGGAGUUCUAAUGAUGACCUCAAAAGCGGUGAAGCUAAAAAAAGCAAGCCAGAAGCAGGAGGCCUUCAGGUGGAGGGAGACAGAGAUACUCCGGUCCACACAUCAGUCACUGAGGAAGCUGUCACAGCAGACAAGCCCGGCCAUGCAUCAAGCACCAACAGUCCUUCUUGCCAGUUGGCUGAGGUUUCUUCCACAGGACCUGAUGAGGGUGUGAAGGACAGCCACCCAUCUGAAGAGCCUGUAAAGUCGUUUUCUAAAACCCAGCGGUGGCCAGAGCCUGGGGAGCCUGUAUGUGUCGUCUGCGGUCGUUAUGGAGAGUAUAUCUGUGACAAGACGGACGAAGACGUGUGUAGCUUGGAGUGCAAAGCGAAGCAUCUGCUACAAGUUAAGGAAGGGGAAGGAUCAUUAAGACCCAGCAGCCCACAGAGAGUGGCUGCCGAGCCAGAGUCCCCACUGGAUGCCUUUUAUGUCUACAAAGAGCACCCCUUUAUUGUGACCCUCAAGGAGGACCAGAUUGAAACCCUUAAACAGCAGCUAGGAAUCUCAGUUCAAGGACAAGACGUUGCCAGGCCCAUUAUCGACUUCGAGCACUGUGGCUUCCCUGAGACCUUAAAUCAGAACUUGAAGAAAUCAGGCUACGAAGUGCCAACCCCCAUCCAGAUGCAGAUGAUUCCUGUGGGGCUCCUGGGAAGGGACAUUCUGGCCAGCGCUGACACUGGCUCAGGGAAAACAGCUGCUUUUCUCCUGCCUGUUAUUAUCCGAGCUUUCUCUGAGGAUAAAACUCCAUCCGCACUCAUUCUCACACCGACAAGAGAACUGGCCAUUCAGAUAGAGAGGCAGGCCAAGGAACUGAUGAGUGGUCUGCCUCGCAUGAAGACAGUGCUUCUCGUAGGGGGCUUACCUCUGCCCCCACAGCUCUAUCGCUUACGGCAGCAUGUUAAGGUUAUCAUAGCAACCCCUGGACGACUUCUGGAUAUAAUUAAACAGAGCUCCGUAUCACUCAGUGGCAUAAAAAUUGUCGUAGUAGACGAAGCUGACACCAUGUUGAAGAUGGGCUUUCAGCAGCAAGUGCUUGACGUUUUGGAACACACUCCUGGUGACUGUCAGACCAUCUUGGUUUCUGCCACCAUUCCAGAUAGCAUAGAACAGCUCACAGACCAGCUUCUGCAUAAUCCUGUGAGGAUCAUCACUGGGGACAAGAACCUGCCCUGCGCCAGUGUGCGGCAGAUCAUCCUGUGGGUAGAAGACCCAGCUAAAAAGAAGAAAUUAUUUGAAAUCCUAAAUGAUCAGAAGCUCUUUAAGCCUCCAGUGUUAGUAUUCGUGGACUGCAAACUAGGCGCAGAUCUGUUGAGCGAGGCGGUUCAGAAGAUCACAGGUCUGAACAGCACAUCCAUCCACUCAGAGAAGUCUCAGGUGGAAAGGAGGGACAUCCUGAAGGGAUUACUGGAAGGAGACUAUGAGGUCGUGGUGAGCACGGGGGUCCUGGGUCGGGGCCUAGACUUGGUCAACGUCAAGCUGGUUGUGAAUUUUGAUAUGCCUUCAAGCAUGGAUGAGUAUGUGCACCAGGAGCUUUGUAGAUCCUGUUGGCCUUGGACGCUCUGUCUACCUGCUACCGAUACUGGAAAGAGUUCCGCUCUUAGCGUCCACUGUGAAGAAGAGAGGCCACCCUCCCAGGUCAGAAGACAGUGCCGGAUUCCCUGGAGCUAGAGUUACAGUGGGGAUAGCCACCUGACCUGGUGUUGGGAACCAAACUCCAGUCCUCUGGAAACAGAGUAUGCCCUUGUGAGCUCAGAGCUGAAAGCCCUCUCUUAGAUGCUGAGCUAUCUUUCUUUUCAGUGAUCUCAGUGUUGGACAGAUGCUGUGAGCUUGCAGCUCAUGUUUUCCUGGACGGCCUUGUUCUACACUUUCAAAGAAUGGCAACAGCAUGCUCUCCUCUCGUGAACUUGCGGGGGGCAGAGGGGAGGUGGGGGAACUACACCUGGUAAGCCGAAUGCUUGCUUCAUUUUGAAUGCUUGCUUCAUUUUCGUUUGUCUGAAACGUGACCCAAACCCCUGAGGCCAGCUGUUGCUCAGUGUGGCAGUCUGAGAUCAGUGAGUUCUUGUGACACUUAAUAACUCCCAAGAAGCACAGCUGGGAGAGCCAGAAGGCACAGUGAAGACACCGAUUCUUUGGCUGGACUAUGUGAACUGAGAGAAGCCCACGCAGUUCAUCUAAACCUACACCAUAGCUUCUGAAGACGCUGUUCACCAGCCCAGACACAAGUGUCAUCCCGUAUUCAUCUUUGUGUGCUGGAGGAAACAGAGAGAGCGGGAGGGCGGAGAGAACACAGAGCUCUCUGUUGCGCCCCACACUGUGCCAUGGGGACUUCUUUCUUGUCUGGGUGAGUCAGAGAACUGACUAUGGUCUAGAUAAAUAAAUAAAUAAAUAAAUAAAUAAAUAGACAGACAGACAAAUAAAUAAA